UUCUCAAAGAUCCUGCCUGCAAAUCGGAGCGAGAGGGGUGGUACACUGAGGGAUAGUCGGGAAAGGGGUGACGCCGUUGAGACAGUUGAUGCUGCCGAGGGCAGAGACAAAGAGCGAGAUUGGAGGAGGGAGGAAGGCAGCAGGCGCGCAAAUUACCCAAUCCCGACACGGGGAGGUAGUGACAAUAAAUACUGAUACAGGGCUCUUUUGAGUCUUGUAAUUGGAAUGAGUACAAUUUAAAUCCCUUAACGAGGAACAAUUGGAGGGCAAGUCUGGUGGGGAGAAGGGCUCGGAGUUGGAGUCCACGAAAGGGGGAAGUCAUGGGUUCAUCCGAGCGCGAGUCAGAAGACGGCCCGCAAAAGGAGGAUGAAAAAGUCACCGAGAAAGGAGGGAACGCAUUUCAGCGCCUCCUUGGCCUCCGCCGAACCUCCCUACCUACCUCCUCUACCCCAAAUCAACCCAGCACUCG
rnacentral:ncRNA from 1 species